GAGAGGCUCCUGGAAUUUGAGAUUUAAACAAUCUUUUCAUAUCCUGGAGAGCUGAAACUUAGAUUAACUUAGAUCCUCUUUCCAAGGAUAUAAAGACAAGGACUGACCAGGAAGGAGACGCUUUAGCAUGUUAGUUGCCUGCAGUCAUGCAGAGAGCUCCAGGGUUCCACUUCCUGAGCUGUCACCCACACUUGGGUGGGCUCUGGUGCUGCAGUCUUUAAGUGCGCACUUCUAUUGGAGAUGGAUCAAAAUCCAGAAGAAACCACAGGCUCUGCCAAUUGGGCUAAGUCCACUGAAGCAGGCAGAAACAGCUGAAGUAUCAGGUGAAGUUCUUUGGUGCAUUUCUCUCCAUGAAGUCUUGAUAAAUGAUGAUCAAUAAUGAAGGCAAGGUGAACCAGUGCCAAGGUAUUGUCAGCAAAGACCAGAGUCAGCAAGACUGAAUAAAGACCAGCAAAGAGUGACAAGGUAGACCAA